rnacentral:rRNA from 1 species
UACGGAGGGUGCAAGCGUUAUCCGGAUUUACUGGGUUUAAAGGGUGCGUAGGCGGGUAGGUAAGUCAGUGGUGAAAUCUCCGAGCUUAACUCGGAAACUGCCUUCGAUACUAUUUAUCUUGAAUAUUGUGGAGGUAAGCGGAAUAUGUCAUGUAGCGGUGAAAUGCUUAGAUAUGACAUAGAACACCCAUUGCGAAGGCAGCUUACUACGCAUAUAUUGACGCUGAGGCACGAAAGCGUGGGGAUCAAACAGG